AAAUCCAACUCUUACACAGAGAGACAAACAAAUUGAUAGAUUCAUCAAGCUUUUGGUGGUUCUGGUGCUGCUACUGCUGCAGGUGCUUCUUCCACCUUGGCAGGUGCCACGUCAGCUGCAGUUGCUACCUCAGCUGCAGGUGCCGCCGCUGGUGCAGGUGCAGGUGCAGGUGCUGGUUCUUCCUCUUUCUUUGCUUCUGCUUCAACAACUAUCUCUUUCUCCUUCACCUCAACAGGAGUAACUGCUGUUGCCUCUGCAUCAGAGGCGGCCGCUAUUGGGGCUGCCGCCGCCUCUUCUUCUUUCUUGUCU
rnacentral:lncRNA from 1 species